GCGGCAGGCCUAACACAUGCAAGUCGAACGGUAACAGGAAACAGCUUGCUGUUUCGCUGACGAGUGGCGGACGGGUGAGUAAUGUCUGGGAAACUGCCUGAUGGAGGGGGAUAACUACUGGAAACGGUAGCUAAUACCGCAUAACGUCGCAAGACCAAAGAGGGGGACCUUCGGGCCUCUUGCCAUCGGAUGUGCCCAGAUGGGAUUAGCUAGUAGGUGGGGUAAAGGCUCACCUAGGCGACGAUCCCUAGCUGGUCUGAGAGGAUGACAAGCCACACUGGAACUGAGACACGGUCCAGACUCCUACGGGAGGCAGCAGUGGGGAAUAUUGCACAAUGGGCGCAAGCCUGAUGCAGCCAUGCCGCGUGUAUGAAGAAGGCCUUCGGGUUGUAAAGUACUUUCAGCGGGGAGGAAGGGAGUAAAGUUAAUACCUUUGCUCAUUGACGUUACCCGCAAAAGAAGCACCGGCUAACUCCGUGCCAGCAGCCGCGGUAAUACGGAGGGUGCAAGCGUUAAUCGGAAUUACUGGGCGUAAAGCGCACGCAGGCGGUUUGUUAAGUCAGAUGUGAAAUCCCCGGGCUCAACCUGGGAACUGCAUCUGAUACUGGCAAGCUUGAGUCUCGUAGAGGGGGGUAGAAUUCCAGGUGUAGCGGUGAAAUGCGUAGAGAUCUGGAGGAAUACCGGUGGCGAAGGCGGCCCCCUGGACGAAGACUGACGCUCAGGUGCGAAAGCGUGGGGAGCAAACAGGAUUAGAUACCCUGGUAGUCCACGCCGUAAACGAUGUCGACUUGGAGGUUGUGCCCUUGAGGCGUGGCUUCCGGAGCUAACGCGUUAAGUCGACCGCCUGGGGAGUACGGCCGCAAGGUUAAAACUCAAAUGAAUUGACGGGGGCCCGCACAAGCGGUGGGGCAUGUGGUUUAAUUCGAUGCAACGCGAAGAACCUUACCUGGUCUUGACAUCCACGGAAGUUUUCAGAGAUGAGAAUGUGCCUUCGGGAACCGUGAGACAGGUGCUGCAUGGCUGUCGUCAGCUCGUGUUGUGAAAUGUUGGGUUAAGUCCCGCAACGAGCGCAACCCUUAUCCUUUGUUGCCAGCGGUCCGGCCGGGAACUCAAAGGAGACUGCCAGUGAUAAACUGGAGGAAGGUGGGGAUGACGUCAAGUCAUCAUGGCCCUUACGACCAGGGCUACACACGUGCUACAAUGGCGCAUACAAAGAGAAGCGACCUCGCGAGAGCAAGCGGACCUCAUAAAGUGCGUCGUAGUCCGGAUUGGAGUCUGCAACUCGACUCCAUGAAGUCGGAAUCGCUAGUAAUCGUGGAUCAGAAUGCCACGGUGAAUACGUUCCCGGGCCUUGUACACACCGCCCGUCACACCAUGGGAGUGGGUUGCAAAAGAAGUAGGUAGCUUAACCUUCGGGAGGGCGCUUACCACUUUGUGAUUCAUGACUGGGGUGAAGUAA
rnacentral:rRNA from 1 species